rnacentral:rRNA from 1 species
GACGAACGCUGGCGGCGUGCUUAACACAUGCAAGUCGAACGGAAAGGCCUGCUUUCCCUUGUGGAUUGCGGGUACUCGCGUGGCGAACGGGUGAGUAACACGUGAGUGAUCUGCCCCCAACUUGGGCAUAAGCCUGGGAAACUGGGUCUAAUUCCCGAUAGGACUGCAGGGUGGUGCCUGUGGUGGAAAACGAUUUUCUAGUGGUUGGGGAUGAGCUCGCGGCCUAUCAGCUUGUUGGUGGGGUAAUGGCCUACCAAGGCGGCGACGGGUAGCCGGCCUGAGAGGGUGGACGGCCACAUUGGGACUGAGAUACGGCCCAGACUCCUACGGGAGGCAGCAGUGGGGAAUAUUGCACAAUGGGCGGAAGCCUGAUGCAGCGACGCCGCGUGGGGGAUGACGGCCUUCGGGUUGUAAACUCCUUUCGACCGCGAGGAAGCCACCUGGUUGGAAGGGUGGUGACGGUAGUGGUAGAAGAAGCACCGGCUAACUACGUG